UACAGAGGUCCCAAGCGUUGUUCGGAUUCACUGGGCGUAAAGGGUGCGUAGGCGGUCGGGUAAGUCUGACGUGAAAUCUCCAAGCCUAACUUGGAAACUGCGUUGGAUACUAUCCGGCUUGAGGAAUGGAGGGGAGACUGGAAUACUUGGUGUAGCAGUGAAAUGCGUAGAUAUCAAGUGGAACACCAGUGGCGAAGGCGAGUCUCUGGACAUUUCCUGACGCUGAGGCACGAAAGCCAGGGGAGCAAGCGGG
rnacentral:rRNA from 1 species